UUGAAGGUAUUUGUUGAUGUUGUUGUUGUGACUGAGUUUCAGAAACUUGAGGAGUUUCUAUAACAGGUUCUAUAGUAGGUGUUUUUGGAGGAGGUGGAAGUAAAAUGGGUUCAGAUAUUGGUUGGGAAAAUAUAGAAAUGGGUUGAGAAGUGGGAGGUGGCUGGAUUGGUAAGAUCCUUUCGGAAACUAUAGAAUCAGAAACAAUAGGAGUGCUAGCUUCAAGACGCUUACUAGAAGUAGUGUCAGAAGUUGUUGAAGAUUGCUGGAAAACUCC
rnacentral:lncRNA from 1 species